UGAACUUUAAGUUAAUAAAACUAGAAAUCUUCCAAAUUUCCAAUAAGAACCCUUAAGUUCAA
rnacentral:tRNA from 1 species